AAUUUCAUGUAUUUUAUUUUUUAUGAUUUGCAAUAUAAUAUUAUUAUAUAUCAUAAUACUGUAAUAGUAUUAUCAAUUAAACCUAUAAAUUUUAUAAAUUAAGGGACUUAGUACCUGCACCUACAAUGCGUGUCGUUUAAUGUUUAUUGUGCUUUGUACCAGUCAAUCUUGCAAUAUGGGCUACUAGUAUGGGGUGGUUUGGGUGACUGCACUACUAACAUAUUGCAGGUUAACCAAAACAACAUAACAAGAAUUUGUCUGAAUAAGUCCUCUUUAGAAGGCGCCUCGAAGGAAAAUUACAUGGCCUUGGGCGUUCUUCCCCUUAAGCUACUUUAUAAAAAAAUUGCAAUUAUGUUCAUUUUUAAGAGUGUCAUCAAAGGUCAAAAUAUAAAAAUCUAUGAUGGUAAAAGGGAAUGCAGACUUUAUGAUAUUCCAGUAAAAUACACGAGGAAAUCAUUUGGGCAAUCAUUUGUAAAUUACUUAGGGCCGGUUUAUUUUAAUACUAUGCCAUAUUCAUAUAAAAAAAACGUCUACUGUACCUACCAAAACUAAUCCUAAAAUAAUUAUAUACCACUGGUUGUUCUCCCAACUAAUAUAAUUAAUUUCUUCUUUCCUCUCAUCACCUAUCUAUUUUUAUGUUACUGUAUACCUUAUUUUUUUUCUCUUUUGUUUUUGUUUCUAGUGUAAUUGUAAUUGUAUUCAUCUUAAUAUUCUCUCAAAUAUCUUAUAUUUAAGUAGUUCUUAUCUACGUUAAUGUUUAAACAUUUUGAUAUUGUAUUUAGUCACAUAGCAUUAUUAUUUUGUAUUACUCUCUAUCUCAACACAAGCUACUGCUUAAAGAAAUAGAUAAAUCUAGUAAUUAACAUUUUAUUGUAUGUAUUAUGUAAUUUAUGAAGAUUAUUAUAAUAAAAAAAAAAAAAAAAAAAAAAAUCAAUAUUUAUAAAUAAUAAAUACAUUUGAACGUCUUAAAAAUCGUUCAAAUUUAUUAAAUAUACAAAUGUCAUUCACAGUCUAUUUGAAAAAAAUGAGUGAGUAUGAUGUUCUCUUAACAUGAACGAGAACAUGUGAAACACUGGUAACCAUACAUUUUUUGGGGGGAAUUUUUAGUGGAUUUUAAUUUUAUACUUUUUGGGUUAUUUUUGACACAAUUAAUGAAUUUUUUUAAUUUUGAAGACAUUUUUGACUAAUUUCUCAAUUUAUGAGAACUUUUUUGAUAUUUUUAUGGCAUUCAAUACUGAGCCCAUAUUAUUAUCACCUGUAACUUUGUAUUUUGGAAUUAAAUUCUACCUACCCAUUUCGUAUUUAAAUAUAUUAUAAAUGUUUCUAUUACCCAGCAUUUAGUAUACCAUUGAUUAUAAAUAGUAGUAUUUAUGAAUUAUAAUCAAUGGUAUUAAAAUAAUUAAUUUUAAUGUCAAUAAGUUUAAAUAAUUGCUUUUAUUAAUAUUACAACAUAAUUACUAAGGGGCUCAUUUUGAUCAUUAUGAUGUUUUAUUAGUAAAUUUUAUAAGUUUUGUAAUAAAUAACAUUUAUUUAAACCUGUUUUUAUCAUAUUAUGUUUGUAAAUAUUUUUCUGUAGCAAUAUAAAUUUGUACUACAUUAUUACUGAGAAAAUGUAAACCUCCUUUAUUUUUCAUAUUUAUGUAUAAAAGAAAUUACUUUUGUUACCAAAUAAAGCACCAUUACAAAUAUCA